rnacentral:lncRNA from 1 species
AAGAUAGUGACCUGUAAUUUUUAAUAUACGAAGUGGUGCCAUUUUUGGUACUCCAUCUAUGUUUAAAUUUUCGCUUACCAAGAUUUAAUAGAUGUGUGUGCUGAUGGUACUUCCAUUUUGCGAUCUGUUCCUGUAGUUUGCUGCCGGAUUUACUUCUUCCAGAUCCAUGCAUAUAGUGUUUUAGGUCGAAAUCAUAAAUAGGUGCAGU